rnacentral:rRNA from 1 species
UACAGAGGGUGCAAGCGUUAAUCGGAAUUACUGGGCGUAAAGCGUGCGUAGACGGUUAUGUAAGUCAGAUGUGAAAGCCCCGGGCUCAACCUGGGAAUUGCAUUUGAGACUGCAUAGCUAGGGUGCGGAAGAGGGAAGCGGAAUUUCCGGUGUAGCGGUGAAAUGCGUAGAUAUCGGAAGGAACAUCAGUGGCGAAAGCGACUUCCUGGACCAAUACUGACGCUCAUGUGCGAAAGCGUGGGGAGCAAACAGG